AAAAAAAUACCACUUUGAAAACACCGGUUCUCGUCCGAUCACCGAAGUUAAGCAACGUCGGGCCCGGUCAGUACUUGGGAGGGUGACCACCUGGGAGACUGGGUGCUGUAAACAUUU